UAAAGAUAUCACUUGCGGCGAUACUCGCUUUGUAAAUGAAAUUUAGGAAAAUAAUCAGUUGAUAGAUGAUUAGACACCCUCUUUUAUUCAUCUGCAUAAACGCUGUCACACGUAUUAUAAGCGUAUAUACUGUGCCAAAACAAAAGGUAUUCAUGAUACGCUAACAAGAAUGGAUUACAUACAUACUCCAUACGUAUAGUUGUACGUAUAUAUACUAACAGAUACUCUCGUCGAGUCGGAGCAUCACACGGUGGUGGUCUUGAGGGUGUUGCCGAUGUCGAUGACGAAGCGGUACCUCACGUCGGCCCUGGCGAGGCGCUCCAUGGCCGCGUUCACGUCGUCCGCGCUGACCACCUCGACGUCCGCCGCCACGCCGUGCUUCGCCGCCAGGUCGAUCAUCUCCUGCGUGUCCGCCAUGCCGCCGAUGCAGCUCCCGGCCAGCGUCUUGCUCGCUGCAUCAUUUCCAUCAUUGUCACAGCUCGAUCGCAUCAGCCAUGGUGUUUUGACAUUGGUGGCAAGAUUAAGUUGGAAGAAAGAAAGGACUUACUCGCAACCAGAGCGAAGGGAGGGAUCUCCAUAGGCUUCUCCGGAAGGCCGACGAGGAUCAUCUUGCCGUUGGGCUUCAGCAAACCCAGCAGCGGCGCGAUGGGAAUGUUGGCGGACACGGUGUUGAUGAUGCCGUCUAUGGUGCCCGUCGCGGCCCGCAUCUCGUCGGCGUUCUUGGAUACGAUAUAUAUAUAUAUAUAUAUGAUUAUAUAUUUCAUCCCAACUUUUAUAACAAAACCGUGUCCUAAUUGUAAGUUGCUUCAAGCUGAAUUUAUUAUUUUAGAUGAUUCUUCUUUUCUUCGGUUCAAUGUUUUUCCAGUUGCAAUGCACGGGCAUUUUUGCAAGUGCGAAUAAAGUUUUAGUUCAUUCUUGUAUUUUUUUUUUACUGUUAUUGUCAUUAGUUGAACGAAUUUUCGUGGAUAGUUCUUGCCUUUACUUUAAGCCCGAGGUCCUGGUUCCGCUACUGUUCAUAUGGUUGAUCAAUAAUAAACAUAUAUACACGCGCAAACGAUAUUCAUAGAGGGAGUAUUUAAAGAUAUCACUUGCGGCGAUACUCGCUUUGUAAAUGAAAUUUAGGAAAAUAAUCAGUUGAUAGAUGAUUAGACACCCUCUUUUAUUCAUCUGCAUAAACGCUGUCACACGUAUUAUAAGCGUAUAUACUGUGCCAAAACAAAAGGUAUUCAUGAUACGCUAACAAGAAUGGAUUACAUACAUACUCCAUACGUAUAGUUGUACGUAUAUAUACUAACAGAUACUCUCGUCGAGUCGGAGCAUC
rnacentral:lncRNA from 1 species